rnacentral:rRNA from 1 species
UACGGAGGGUGCGAGCGUUGUCCGGAAUCAUUGGGCGUAAAGGGCGCGUAGGUGGCCCGGUCAGUUCGUGGUGAAAGCGCGGGGCUCAACCCUGCGUCGGCCAUGAAUACUGCCGCGGCUGGAGCACUGUAGAGGCAGGCGGAAUUCCGGGUGUAGCGGUGGAAUGCGUAGAGAUCCGGAAGAACACCGGUGGCGAAGGCGGCCGGCUGGACCUGUCCUGACGCUGAGGCGCGAAGGCGUGGGGAGCGAACGGG